GCUACGGGUGGCAGCAGUGGGGAAUAUUGCACAAUGGGGGAAACCCUGAUGCAGCAACGCCGCGUGGGUGAAGAAGUAUUUCGGUAUGUAAAGCCCUAUCAGCAGGGAAGCGAAUGACGGUACCUGACUAAGAAGCCCCGGCUAACUACGUGCCGGCAGCCGCGGUAAUGCGUAGGGGGCAUGCGUUAUCCGGAGUUACUGGGUGUAAAGGGAGCGUAGACGGUUGUGCAAGUCUGAAGUGAAAGCCCGAGGUCCAACUGCGGAACGGCUUUGGAAACUGUGUAACUGGAGUGCUGGAGAGGUAAGCGGAAUGCCUGGUGUAGCGGUGAAAUGCGUAGAGAUCAGGAGGAACACCGGUGGCGAAGGCGGCGUACUGGACAGUAACUGACGUUGAGGCUCGAAAGCGUGGGGAGCAAACAGGAUUAGAUACCCUUGUAGUC
rnacentral:rRNA from 1 species